AGCGUACACGGUGGAUGCCCUGGCAGUCAGAGGCGAUGAAGGACGUGCUAAUCUGCGAUAAGCGUCGGUAAGGUGAUAUGAACCGUUAUAACCGGCGAUUUCCGAAUGGGGAAACCCAGUGUGUUUCGACACACUAUCAUUAACUGAAUCCAUAGGUUAAUGAGGCGAACCGGGGGAACUGAAACAUCUAAGUACCCCGAGGAAAAGAAAUCAACCGAGAUUCCCCCAGUAGCGGCGAGCGAACGGGGAGGAGCCCAGAGCCUGAAUCAGUGUGUGUGUUAGUGGAAGCGUCUGGAAAGGCGCGCGAUACAGGGUGACAGCCCCGUACACAAAAAUGCACAUGCUGUGAGCUCGAUGAGUAGGGCGGGACACGUGGUAUCCUGUCUGAAUAUGGGGGGACCAUCCUCCAAGGCUAAAUACUCCUGACUGACCGAUAGUGAACCAGUACCGUGAGGGAAAGGCGAAAAGAACCCCGGCGAGGGGAGUGAAAAAGAACCUGAAACCGUGUACGUACAAGCAGUGGGAGCCUCUUUUAUGGGGUGACUGCGUACCUUUUGUAUAAUGGGUCAGCGACUUAUAUUCUGUAGCAAGGUUAACCGAAUAGGGGAGCCGAAGGGAAACCGAGUCUUAACUGGGCGUUAAGUUGCAGGGUAUAGACCCGAAACCCGGUGAUCUAGCCAUGGGCAGGUUGAAGGUUGGGUAACACUAACUGGAGGACCGAACCGACUAAUGUUGAAAAAUUAGCGGAUGACUUGUGGCUGGGGGUGAAAGGCCAAUCAAACCGGGAGAUAGCUGGUUCUCCCCGAAAGCUAUUUAGGUAGCGCCUCGUGAAUUCAUCUCCGGGGGUAGAGCACUGUUUCGGCAAGGGGGUCAUCCCGACUUACCAACCCGAUGCAAACUGCGAAUACCGGAGAAUGUUAUCACGGGAGACACACGGCGGGUGCUAACGUCCGUCGUGAAGAGGGAAACAACCCAGACCGCCAGCUAAGGUCCCAAAGUCAUGGUUAAGUGGGAAACGAUGUGGGAAGGCCCAGACAGCCAGGAUGUUGGCUUAGAAGCAGCCAUCAUUUAAAGAAAGCGUAAUAGCUCACUGGUCGAGUCGGCCUGCGCGGAAGAUGUAACGGGGCUAAACCAUGCACCGAAGCUGCGGCAGCGACGCUUAUGCGUUGUUGGGUAGGGGAGCGUUCUGUAAGCCUGUGAAGGUGUACUGUGAGGUAUGCUGGAGGUAUCAGAAGUGCGAAUGCUGACAUAAGUAACGAUAAAGCGGGUGAAAAGCCCGCUCGCCGGAAGACCAAGGGUUCCUGUCCAACGUUAAUCGGGGCAGGGUGAGUCGACCCCUAAGGCGAGGCCGAAAGGCGUAGUCGAUGGGAAACAGGUUAAUAUUCCUGUACUUGGUGUUACUGCGAAGGGGGGACGGAGAAGGCUAUGUUGGCCGGGCGACGGUUGUCCCGGUUUAAGCGUGUAGGCUGGUUUUCCAGGCAAAUCCGGAAAAUCAAGGCUGAGGCGUGAUGACGAGGCACUACGGUGCUGAAGCAACAAAUGCCCUGCUUCCAGGAAAAGCCUCUAAGCAUCAGGUAACAUCAAAUCGUACCCCAAACCGACACAGGUGGUCAGGUAGAGAAUACCAAGGCGCUUGAGAGAACUCGGGUGAAGGAACUAGGCAAAAUGGUGCCGUAACUUCGGGAGAAGGCACGCUGAUGCGUAGGUGAAGUCCCUUGCGGAUGGAGCUGAAAUCAGUCGAAGAUACCAGCUGGCUGCAACUGUUUAUUAAAAACACAGCACUGUGCAAACACGAAAGUGGACGUAUACGGUGUGACGCCUGCCCGGUGCCGGAAGGUUAAUUGAUGGGGUUAGCGGUAACGCGAAGCUCUUGAUCGAAGCCCCGGUAAACGGCGGCCGUAACUAUAACGGUCCUAAGGUAGCGAAAUUCCUUGUCGGGUAAGUUCCGACCUGCACGAAUGGUGUAAUGAUCCGGACGCUGUCUCAACCGUGAUUCCAGUGAAAUUGUAGUAUCGGUGAAGAUGCCGAUUACCCGCGAUGGGACGAAAAGACCCCGUGAACCUUUACUGCAGCUUAGCGCUGACCCCGGCCAUCCGAUGUGUAGGAUAGGCCGGAGGCUUUGAACCCGCGGCGCCAGCCGCGGCGGAGCCUUCCUUGAAAUACGGCCCUUCGGCUGUCUGGGGUCUAACCCGCGGUUUGUGGGGACACCGCUUGGCGGGCAGUUUGACUGGGGUGGUCGCCUCCAAAAGCGUAACGGAGGCUUCCAAAGGUGCCCUCGGGCCGUUCGGUAACCGGCCUUAUGGAGUGCAAUGGCAUAAGGGCGCCUGACUGGGAGGGGGACACCCCGAGCAGGCAGGAAACUGGGGCAUAGUGAUCCGGCGGACGUGCAUGGAAACUCCGUCGCUCAAAGGAUAAAAGGUACUCCGGGGAUAACAGGCUGAUCCCCCCCAAGAGCUCAUAUCGACGGGGUGGUUUGGCACCUCGAUGUCGGCUCGUCACAUCCUGGGGCUGGAGAAGGUCCCAAGGGUUGGGCUGUUCGCCCAUUAAAGUGGCACGCGAGCUGGGUUCAGAACGUCGUGAGACAGUUCGGUCUCUAUCUAUCGUGGGCGUUGGAGUUUUGCGCGGGUCUGACACUAGUACGAGAGGACCGUGUCGGACGGACCUCCGGUCUGCCGGUUGUGCCGCCAGGCGCACCGCCGGGUAGCCGCGUCCGGCCGGGAUAAGCGCUGAAGGCAUCUAAGCGCGAAGCCCUCCGCAAGAUGAGAACUCCUUGAUAUGAGGGCCGUCAGAGACGAUGACGUUGAUAGGGCGCAGGUGUAAAGGCGGCGACGCCAAAGCCGAGCGCUACUAAUUGCCCGAAGCUUUCCCC
rnacentral:rRNA from 1 species